rnacentral:lncRNA from 1 species
CCCGGCCUGGCUCCGAGUAACUGCGAGCUGGAGGCGCGGCUGCUCUCUCGGGCGGACCUCAGCUCUGCGAACCCUGUGGCUGCCGGAGCACUGAGCGCCCUGCCCGGAGUCCCGCGGAGCCUGGCGAGGAGGGGUCGCUGCAUCCCGAGGGCCAGCCCUGAGCCGGGAGAAGAUGAAACAGCUGUCAUGGAAAUAUUUUUUAAAUCUCAUACUGGCUAUACAAGAAGAAGCAUGGCACCAGCAUCUGCUUCUGGUGAGCAGCUCAGGCUGCUUCCAUUCCUGGUGGAAGGGAAAGGGGAGCUGACUUGUGCAGAGAUCACUUCCAAGAGGGAAAUCAAGAGAGAGAGGUCAAACGGUGUAAACUUUGCUGGAAGGAACCUUACUCAGAGGGCCAAUCACCUGCUUCUCUAGAGUUCUCAAGCUCUCCUGUGAGCACCAGGUUGAGCUGCAGAAAGCCAGAACCAGCUCAGAAACUGAGAAAUGGACAUGAAGAUGCCCAGGUCUGCAGAUGGUUUCCAUUCUGAAAAGUGAUAGUCCCAAGGGGGACUGGCAUGCAGUCAUUCAUUCAACAAUUGUGCUCCUACUCUGUGAAGUAUUGGGGAUACAGUGCUGAGCACAGACAGACCUAGUCUCUGUCCUUUGCACCUUUCAGUGAAGGAUAGGAGGUAGACAUUGAUGCAACAAGCACCCGAGUAAAUGUAAGACCAUGCAGUGAUAAAGGCCGUGGAGGAAGGGCCCAUGCAGGGGCAGAAAACAGAGGAAGGGGCUGGUGGAGCAGCUCCUCUAGCUCAAGGCUGAGUGGUAUAAACUGUAGCUACUGCAUGAUCUGAACGUGUCUUAAGGAGGGUAUCCCCAAAGCGGGCUCAUUGGGAGUUACUGUGGAGCGCUAGUUUAUUGUAAUUGCCAUAUGUUUAUAAGUAAUGGAAUCCUAGAAUUAGAAGGAACUUCGGUCACCUUUUAAUUUAAUAUUUAUCUUUCUCAAUCCAGGAAACAUCUCUACAGCAUCCCUAACUGGGGGUUGAUCCAUUCAUUUCCAGACACAGAGAACAGAGUCACAUUCUGCUGUUUCCAUAUGUACCAUUUUAGUAAGACUUCUUGGGGCACAAGGCAGGAAGUUGGGGACAAUAUAUUUGUCUGCACCAAGGCAGCCUGAGAAGAGAGAAGUGAAUACUCCUGGGGUUAUUCUAUAUUAUUCACUUAAUAUUCUAAGUGAGUCCUCUAGGGGUACCUGAGACAUGGAGUAUGAAAGUACACAUUCACAAAAGUACCAGCUUUAAAACUAGAUUAUCUCUACUAUUCAAAAACACCAAGGAAAGGCCACACAAUGGAGACAAAGUGCAUCUGAGAUCUAGCAAAUUUCCCUGUUGGCCACAUACUGAUAAUGAUGUAUUAAAAUCAAUUCUAUACUGUGGGGUACUUAUUUGACAUUAAUAGGUACCAUGGUGGUUUAACAUAGUUGCUGCCCAGAGAAAACGCCGCACACUCACCUACACUAAAAUGAAGUCUGAGUCAGCUGCCUCCCCUCCGCCAUCCCUUCCAAAGCCAAUGGUUGAAAGUCACAGAAGUCCCUCUGCUGCCACCUAGUGACGACAAUGUGAAUACAACUACACAGCCUCCUGGGAAAGAAGUUUUGAACCACGUUUGCUUCUAAAGGAAGCCUGUAAUUACCUCUGAGUGCUCUAUUUUGGCUACAAUUUAAAAACAUAUAUAUUUUAAAACUCUAUAAACUCUUAUGCAUAUCCCUUUUUAAGAAUCUGACCUGUAAUGGAUGUAGCCUCACUUUCAAGAACCUAAAAGCUAUGCCCCCAAUUCAGGGAGUAGAACAGACAGGCUUAAGAACAGUGCCUAAAAAUGCCACUAAAUUUAUCUUUAAAAUGCCUGUGGUUCCUUAGCACUUGAAUUCCGUUAUGCCCCUGGGUAUAGUCACCUGGAUGUUAGGGGCUGUCAAAAUUCAGCCCUCAGUUGGUGAUCAGUAGGUUUUCCCUUUAAGUGGUUUCUGAAAGGAUUUUUUUUAAAAAUCUUGAAAUUCUCAUGUCUGGAUGAUGUUUCCAGUUUUGUGGAAGAAUAAAAGAAAAGGGACAUGAAAUUCUGGCUCCCUGGGGGCAGUGGCUGUGUCUUAUUAAUCUCUGUGCCCAUUGUACCAACACCGGUCAGUCACAGCAUGUACUCAACCAAUGCUGAUGAAUGCAGAGGGGCGAGGGGCUGGCACGCUCUUGACCCCUUAUAGGGGCUGCGUCGAUGGCCAGGGUUCAAUGGGAACUUUCUGGUACAGUCUUGCUCUGCCAAUCUUUCAAAUUAAGUGCAGCACAAUUGGAAGCCUCACAUUCUCAUAGACGGGUUGAGGAGGGCAUUAGGGGCAGAAAGGCUCACAUAAGGCCUGAGCGUGAGGUUUCCUGCCCAGCACUGCUGUGCCAUUGCAGCCCACCUUCUUCUCACCUUUCCUUCCACACCACGGCGCGGCAGGUGCAGAAACCGUGCUGGGAUUGAGGCCCUAGAGGCUGACUACAGGUCUUGGGGGCAAAACAUCUGGACACACAGCUGAAGAUGAGCCAAGUAUAUUAGUCAGGGUUCUCUAGAGAAACAGAACCAACAAGAUAGAGAGAUGCAGAGAGACAGAGGGACAGACAGACAGAUUUAAGUAACUGACCCAUAAAAUCUUGGAGGCUUGGCAAGUCCAAAAUCUGCAAGAUGGAAGUGGGCUGGCACAUUGGAGACUCAAGGAAGAGUUGCACGUUGAGUUCAAAGGCCGGCUGCUGGCAGAAUUCCUUUCUGCUCAGGUGAAGUCGGUCUCUGUUCUAUUAAGACCUUCAACUGAUUGGAUGAGGUCCACCCAUAUUAUGAAGGGUCAUUUGCUUUACUCAACAUCUACUCAUCUAAAUAUUAAUCUCAUUGAAAAAAAACCCCAGAAACAUCCAGAAUAGCAUUUGACCAAAUGUUUGGACAAUGCAGCCUAGCCACAUUAACACACAAAAUUAACUGUCACAGCAAGACACCAGGGAAGCAUUGGAAGAUGUUAGCGGCUGUCAUUGAAAUGGGUGCCGUCAGGUGGACGGCAGCCAUCCAUCGGGCAAGAGCGGGGCAGCUGGAAGGGCCCUCCCCUCCCGUUUGCUUUCUGCUCUUCACAGCUCACGGAUAGAGGAAUUUUCUCAGCACAUUUCCCAGGAGGAGUUUGGCACCACCAUUUCUUGAAAACAGAUGUCUGCAGGGAUGUGUGUGUGCCUGUGAAUAUGAAGUCCAGAGCCUGGGACUGAGAACAGCAAGGGGAACAGGUGGCCACAGGGGAGUUGCCAGAUUGCUGACUUAAGAUGUGCUCCCAGGGCUGCACUGGUGUCGGUCGUGAGAGCGAUCACGGUUUGUGCAACGUCUGAACUUUCUAUCAACUUAUGGUUUAAUCAAUUUGCUGUUUACUCCAGCUAUUUGCAACCUCUCCUCAGUUACUUGGUGUUCAGCAGUGUAAUAUAUCUUCAUGUGUGAAUAUAAAUAUACUAUUUAGUGGAAACUAAAAGGAAUUGUGGAGGAAGAAUUUUUUUGGAUAAUUUUAUGUUUUCAUAAUGUAAAAAUUAAAGAUAUUUGAAGAGUUGAGUAUGUCAGUUUUGGGGAUGCAAGAGAAUGACUUCGGGACUACCAUAAUAUUUAAAAUCAUCACUACUCUUUCUUUCCACCUAAGUCUCAUAGCAAAAGAGGAAAUUUACUUCAGUCUCUUUCUGUAGCAGAACAUUAUCGUGCUGUAUUCCUGUGUUCACUUAUCUGCGCUGGAUUGUGAGUCCUUACAGAGAGAAAUUGUUAUGUGCUAUGUUCCCAACACCUGCACAUUAUAGGUGGUCACUAAGUGCUUGAUGAAUAAAUGAAUGAGGGAAUAAUAUUGUUUAUUAUUUUUUGCUGUUAUUUAUAAUUGGGAGUGGGUAGGAUUUGGAUUAUGAAGACUCUGGGAAGCCUCAUAAGAACCUCAGACUCACUGGGCACGGUGGCUCACACCUGUAAUCCCAGCACUUUGGGAGGCCGAGGCAGGCGGAUCACGAGGUCGGGAGAUCGAGACCAUCCUGGCUAACACGGUGAAACCCGGUCUCCACUAAAAAUACAAAAAACUAGCCAGGUGUGGUGGCGGGCGCCUGUAGUCCCAGCUACUCCAGAGGCUGAGGCAGGAGAAUGGCCGUGAACCCAGGAGGCGGAGGUUGCAAUGAGCCGAGAUCGCACCACUGCACUCCAGCCUGGGCGACAGAGCAAGACUCCAUCUCAAAAAGAAAAACCUCAGACCAGACUCAACGUGUCCAAAAAAGAGCUCACCUUGUACCCCUAGAUCCUGAAGCGGCUUCCAGUAGCUCAACCUCCUCCCAUCCAGUUCCAUCUCUGCCAGGGAUCUUUUAAAAAUGCAAAUCUCAUUAUGUCUCUUUCCUGCCUCAAACCUCCCAGUGGUUCUCCAGUCUGUCAGGAGAGGGUAUAGACUGUGGCCUGGCCCGGGAAGUUCUUUGAGGUCAACCCCUGCCUACUCAUCUUGCUAACUCUUAUGGCUCUCUGACACUAGGCUUUUGCUCCAAUCAUAUAAGCAACUGUAUUUCCAUAAAAUUGCAAUGUUCUUCCCUACCUCCUCACUUAACUAAUUUUCACUUUACUGAUCAUUUCUUAUUUUACUAUCAGCGUCUCUUUCUCCUUAUUCUUCAGGGAACAUUUCUCUCCACCAUCCUGUGCCACACUGUGGGGGUGUCAGUAACACCCUCUGUCCUCUCCUGGCCAAAGGAAAGGGGUGUCAUUCAGCCCAGGCCCCUGGAUCCUCAUCUUGGGAUUUGGAAAUGUGACCGAAGUGACAUAAAAAAAAGACAUGAAGUGCGAGGAGCUCAUUCAGUCAGCUCUGCAGCUCCAGCUGGGUUACCUGUGAGUCCUUGCUAGCCAGAUCCCUUGAUUUGCCGUGACUCCUGCCUUUGCCAAGUCUGUCUUCAUAGAUUCUUUCAAAUGUGGUUCCAUCUUGCCUGAGUUCGUCAGAGCCAGAUUCUGUGCUGUAAUAAAAAACCCCAAAUCAACUCACCUCUCACCCUCCACAAUGCAGCUUCUGGAAGAUUCCAGAUGCCCCAGCCUGACUGAGAAUUCUCUCUCCUCUGCUCUCAAAGUCCCUUUGGGUGCUUCUACCAAAGCACUGACAGCGUGAUUCUGAUUUGAUCGCUGGUGUCUGAGAGCUGUGAACGUCUUGAUGGUUUUGGCGCCCAGCACCAUUCCUGCCUCAUAAUUGGCACGUGAUAAAGGCUUGUCGCAUUCCCUCAUUCAAAAUAAACAUAGAAGACAAUCCAGAGAUUGCAGCUUCACAGAAAUCACAGAAGGAAAUUUAUAUUUAUAGAGACGGCAUAUAAAAUUUUAAAACAAUUUUAAUGAAAAUCUUGAAAAUAGACAUUCUCUUCUUUAAACAACAUAAACUGAACAAACUCAGUCUGUUUUGGUGCCUCUGUGAGUACCCUCGGUUGCUCUGGGCUGCUGUGCGAUGCUGACCGGGACUUCCUCAGAGGCCUCAUCUUCUGCAUCCAGUGGACUUGCAAGCCACUUUACACUUCCUGGGUGAUAAGGUUUGGAUUUGUGUCCCCGCCCAAAUCUCACGUGGAAUGUCAUUCCUAAUGUUGGAAGAGGGGCCUGGUGGGAGGUGAUUGGAUCAUGGGGGCAGAAUUCCCUCUUGCAGUUCUCUUGGUAGUGAGUUCUCACAAGAUCUGGUUGUUUAAAAGUAUGUAGCACCUCCUGCUUUCGCUGUCUUCCUCCUGCUCCCGCCAUGUAAGACGUGGCCUCCUUUCCCUUCGCCUUCCGCCAUGAUUGAAAGUCUUCAGAGGCCUCCCCAG